AGCUUAGUAACCAACGGAAAUCGGAGAUCACAAACUGUCACUGCGAAAGAGCAGAGAGUAAUUUAAAUCCACCUGAGGCUGGUUCACGGGGACUAUGUGCUUCUGCUCCUUAAGCAAUAUGCCUCCCAAAUAGCUGAUGGAAGUUACCUUCAUAGAUACCUUUCUGAAAUUCCGGUUUAAAAGGCAGAAACCAUGACAGAGAAAUUGGCUUAUCCAUCGGAACUCCGAGUGAAUGACGUCAAGAUGAUUAACAUGUUAUUAUUAA